rnacentral:rRNA from 1 species
GAUAAACGCUGGCGGCGUACAUUAGACAUGCAAGUCGAACGGACGAGUAUUUUUUAGUUUACUAAUAGAUACAAGUUAGUGGCGAACGGGUGAGUAACACGUAAGAAACCUGCCUGUAAGAGUGGAAUAACAUUGAGAAAUCAUUGCUAAUACCGCAUAUAAUGAUAUAUCGCAUGGUAUAUUAUGAAAGAUUUAUCGCUUACAGAGGGUCUUGCGCCUGAUUAGCUAGUUGGUGAGAUAACAGCUCACCAAGGCGAUGAUCAGUAGCCGGAUCGAGAGGUCGAACGGCCACAUUGGGACUGAGACACGGCCCAGACUCCUACGGGAGGCAGCAGUCGGGAAUAUUGCACAAUGGAGGAAACUCUGAUGCGGUGACGCCGCGUAUAGGAAGAAGGUCUUAGGAUUGUAAGCUAUUGUUAUGUGGGAUGAAGAAGACAGUACCACAUGAGAAAGCCCUGGCUAAAUAUGUGCCAGCAGCCGCGGUAAUACAUAUGGGGCGAGCGUUGUCCGGAUUUAUUGGGUGUAAAGGGUGCGUAGGCGGGAAAGUAAGUUAGUUGUGAAAUCCCACGGCUCAACCGUGGACUUGCAACUAAAACUGUUUUUCUGGAGUAUCGGAGAGGAAAGCGGAAUUUCUAGUGUAGCGGUGAAAUGCGUAGAUAUUAGAAAGAACACCAAAGGCGAAGGCAGCUUUCUGGACGAUAACUGACGCUGAGGCACGAAAGCGUGGGUAGCAAACAGGAUUAGAUACCCUGGUAGUCCACGCCGUAAACGAUGGAUACUAGACGUGAGGGAGAGAUUCUUUCGUGUCGUAAGUUAACGCGAUAAGUAUCCCACCUGGGGAUUACGACCGCAAGGUUAAAACUCAAAGGAAUUGACGGGGGCCCGCACAAGCAGUGGAGUAUGUGGUUUAAUUCGAUGCAACGCGAAGAACCUUACCAGGGCUUGACAUAUAUAUGAAGGAUCUAGAGAUAGAUUUGUUUCUUCGGAACAUAUAUACAGGUGGUGCAUGGUUGUCGUCAGCUCGUGUCGUGAGAUGUAGGGUUAAGUCCCGUAACGAGCGCAACCCCUAUUGCUAGUUGCUAACAUUAAGUUGAGGACUCUAGCGAGACUGCCGAUAGAAAAUCGGAGGAAGGUGGGGAUGACGUCAAAUCAUCAUGCCCUUUAUGUCCUGGGCUACACACGUACUACAAUGGAUGGUACAACGGGAAGCUAAGCCGUGAGGUGGAGCAAAUCCUAAAAAACCAUUCUCAGUUCGGAUUGAAGAUUGAAACUCAUCUUCAUGAAGCAGGAAUUGCUAGUAAUGGCAGGUCAGCAUACUGCCGUGAAUACGUUCCCGGGCCU